rnacentral:rRNA from 1 species
GCCUGUAAGACUCGGGAUAACUCCGGGAAACCGGGGCUAAUACCGGAUAAUUUAGUUCCUCGCAUGAGGAACUGUUGAAAGGUGGCUUCGGCUACCACUUACAGAUGGACCCGCGGCGCAUUAACUAGUUGGUGAGGUAACGGCUCACCAAGGGAACGAUGCGUAGCCGAACUGAGAGGGUGAUCGGCCACACUGGGACUGAAACACGGCCCAAACUCCUACGGGAGGCAGCAGUAGGGAAUCUUCCGCAAUGGACGAAAGUCUGACGGAACAACGCCCCGUGAGUGAAGAAGGUUUUCGGAUCGUAAAACUCUGUUGGUAGGGAAGAACAAGUGCCGUUCGAAUAGGGCGGCACCUUGACGGUACCUAACCAGAAAGCCACGGCUAACUACCUGCCAGCAGCCGCGGUAAUACGUAAGUGGCAAGCGUUGUCCGGAAUUAUUGGGCGUAAAGCGCGCGCAGGUGGUUUCUUAAGUCUGAUGUGAAAGCCCACGGCUCAACCGUGGAAGGUCAUUGGAAACUGGGGAACUUGAGUGCAGAAGAAGAAAGUGGAAUUCCAAGUGUAGCGGUGAAAUGCGUAGAUAUUUGGAGGAACACCAGUGGCGAAAGCGACUUUCUGGUCUGUAACUGACACUGAGGCGCGAAAGCGUGGGGAGCAAACAGGAUUAGAUACCCUGGUAGUCCACGCCGUAAACGAUGAGUGCUAAGUGUUAGAGGGUUUCCGCCCUUUAGUGCUGCAGCUAACGCAUUAAGCACUCCGCCUGGGGAGUACGGUCGCAAGACUGAAACUCAAAGGAAUUGACGGGGGCCCGCACAAGCGGUGGAGCAUGUGGUUUAAUUCGAAGCAACGCGAAGAACCUUACCAGGUCUUGACAUCCUCUGACAACCCUAGAGAUAGGGCUUUCCCCUUCGGGGGACAGAGUGACAGGUGGUGCAUGGUUGUCGUCAGCUCGUGUCGUGAGAUGUUGGGUUAAGUCCCGCAACGAGCGCAACCCUUGAUCUUAGUUGCCAGCAUUCAGUUGGGCACUCUAAGAUGACUGCCGGUGACAAACCGGAGGAAGGUGGGGAUGACGUCAAAUCAUCAUGCCCCUUAUGACCUGGGCUACACACGUGCUACAAUGGACGGUACAAAGGGCAGCGAGACCGCGAGGUUUAGCCAAUCCCAUAAAACCGUUCUCAGUUCGGAUUGCAGGCUGCAACUCGCCUGCAUGAAGCUGGAAUCGCUAGUAAUCGCGGAUCAGCAUGCCGCGGUGAAUCGUUC